rnacentral:rRNA from 1 species
GACGAACGCUGGCGGCGUGCUUAACACAUGCAAGUCGAACGGUGAACCUCUUCGGAGGGGAUCAGUGGCGAACGGGUGAGUAACACGUGGGCAACCUGCCCCCGGCUCUGGGAUAACUCCAAGAAAUUGGGGCUAAUACCGGAUGUUCACCGCUUCCCGCAUGGGUGGUGGUGGAAAGGGUUUCCGGCUGGAGAUGGGCCCGCGGCCUAUCAGCUUGUUGGUGGGGUAGUGGCCUACCAAGGCGACGACGGGUAGCCGGCCUGAGAGGGUGACCGGCCACACUGGGACUGAGACACGGCCCAGACUCCUACGGGAGGCAGCAGUGGGGAAUAUUGCGCAAUGGGCGGAAGCCUGACGCAGCGACGCCGCGUGGGGGAUGACGGCCUUCGGGUUGUAAACCUCUUUCAGCAGGGACGAAGCGCAAGUGACGGUACCUGCAGAAGAAGCACCGGCCAACUACGUG